ACAAGGACAAAAGUCAACAUAAAACCAGGGAGACCAGAUACUGGACACCACCCAACAAUGCAAGCAGGAGCUGAUGGUGAUGUGAUGAGAUUAUAAGUGAUGAGAAGUUGCUGAAAUCAGGAUAUAUUGAAAAGGUUGUUAAUUUCUAACCCAAGAAUUCAAACUCACCUCGACAAGCUUCUUCAAAAUCUUGGGUUAUGUCCACCCAGCUUGUAUUGCUUUUUUCCAUCUUUUCUGGUAUACUGAGCUCCCAUCCUGAAUCAUCAUCUUCUACAGAAGCUUUCAUGACCAUAAUGCCUAUAAAAUUAACACUGGUGUAAAAGAGAUUGUGGCUUUCAGGGCAAGACUAUUUGCAAGCCAUGUGUGUUCACUCAAGUCCUGGAUGGAAGUCUUACUAAACUGCCAGACUUCAUCGGAGUUUGAUAGUGGCAACUGGGAAAUAAAAAAAAUAAAAAA